GGGAGCUUGUAUUUUAUUGGAAACAUGGUCCUGAAGGGCUGCUGAUGCAUGUGAACAAGUACAGUCUUGAAUUUGGAGUCUAAACCAUCUUAAACAAGUUUAUGUCCAUGCUGCAGAUAUAAAGGAUGAAGUUGUAGGGCAGGAAGUCUUAUGUAACUUGGAGCAGCUACUCAAUGGAAAUCACAAACAGAAUGAGUUUCAUCCACAUGUCAAGACACUACUACCAACAGAGCUAUUUCAGGACACCUACCUAAAUAACUAGCUGUCUCUUCCACUUAAAGCAAGGAGAGUCUUCUCUUAUCUUCAAGAAGAAUAAAAAGUGAAGCUGACAUUACUUGGAAAGAGAAUAAACAAAAUCUGUCAUGAGGACUGCAGGGAUGAAUGACACAAACCAGCCAUUUCUUUGAGAGUCAGGAAAUAUCUAGUUUAUACAAUAAGCUGAUCUACCAAUAAAAUACAAUUGGUGUUGAAAUAU
rnacentral:lncRNA from 1 species